rnacentral:rRNA from 1 species
CAAGGUACGAACGGAGAUUACUUAGCUUGCUUUGUAAUCUUAGUGGCGACGGGUGAGUAACACGUGAGCAACUGCCUCUGAGAGAGGAUAGCUUCGUGAAACGGAUGGUAAUACCUCAUAACAUACCGAAACGCAUGAUUUUUGGUAUCAAAGAUUUAUCACUCAGAGAUGGGCUCGCGUCUGAUUAGGUAGUUGGUGAGGUAACGGCUCACCAAGCCGACGAUCAGUAGCCGGACUGAGAGGUUGAACGGCCACAUUGGGACUGAGACACGGCCCAGACUCCUACGGGAGGCAGCAGUGAGGGAUAUUGCACAAUGGAGGAAACUCUGAUGCAGCGAUGCCGCGUGGAGGAAGAAGGUUUUCGGAUUGUAAACUCCUGUUUCGAGGGACGAUAAUGACGGUACUUCGGGAGGAAGCUCCGGCUAACUACGUGCCAGCCGCCGC